rnacentral:rRNA from 1 species
CCUACGUGGGGCAGCAGUGAGGAAUAUUGGUCAAUGGCCGGAAGGCUGAACCAGCCAUGCCGCGUGAAGGUCAGUGCCCUAUGGGCGUUAAACUUCUUUUGUGCGGGAGCAAUAAUGGUCACGUGUGGCCCGCCUAGAUUACCGUACGAAUAAGCAUCGGCUCACUCCGUGCCAGCAGCCGCGGUAAUACGGGGGAUGCAAGCGUUAUCCGGAUUUUUUGGUUUUAAGGGGUGCGUAGGCUGUGAGGUAAGUCAGCGGGGAAAUGCCCCCGCUCAACGGGGUGAAGUGCCAUUGAUACUGCCUGGCUGGAAUGCGGAUGCCGUGGGAGGAAUGUGUGGUGUAGCGGUGAAAUGCAUAGAUAUCACACAGAACACCGAUUGCGAAGGCAUCUCACGAAGCCGCGAUUGACGCUGAUGCACGAAAGCGUGGGUAUCAAACAGGAUUAGAUACCCUUGUAGUC